ensembl:rRNA 5S_rRNA 5S ribosomal RNA
CAUAAUAGUCAUAUCACCCUGCAGCUCAAGACCGGGUCUUCACUGAAGCUAAGAAGGGCUGAGCCUGGUCUGUACCUGGAUGGGAGACCACAUGGGAAAACUAGGCUGCUGUUGAAA